CCCCUAGAUGUUCUGGGCCGCACGCGCGCUACACUGAACAGUUCAACAAGUCUUAACCUUGGCCGAUAGGUCUGGGUAAUCUUUGAACGCUGUUCGUGAUUGGGAUAGACCUUUGCAAUUAUGGGUCUUCAACGAGGAAUUCCUAGUAAACGCAAGUCAUCAGCUUGCAUUGAUUACGUCCCUGCCCUUUGUACACACCGCCCGUCGCACCUACCGAUUGAAUGGUCCAGUGAAAUCUCGGGACGGCGGCUUGGUCGCUUGCGUCCGACUGCUGAAACUUGAUUAAACCAUAUCAUUUAGAGGAAGGUGAAGUCGUAACA
rnacentral:rRNA from 1 species